UUAUAAUAAAUUAUCGCUACGGAAUAAAGUUACUCUAGGAUAACAGGCUAUCUUUCCGAGAGUCCAUAUGACGAAAAGGUUUGGCACCUCGAUGUCGGCUAUCGCAUCCUAAGGCAGUAGUAUGUUUAAGGGUAAGUCUGUUCGCCUAUUAAAGCGAUACGUGAGCUGGGUUCAGAACGUCGUGAGACAGUUCGGUCCAUAUCUAAUAUAAGUGUUAGAAUAUUGAAAUUAUUUUUUCUAGUACGAGAGGAUCGAAAAAAUUAUACCAAUGAUAUAUCAAUUAUUAUAUAUUGUAAUGUUGAGUAGUUAAGUAUAAAAUUUUAAUUGUUGAAGUAAUAUAAAUAAGAAAAUUUAAUUAAAAAUAAUAUUCUAAUCAUAUAAAUGAAUAAAACAAUAAUUAGAAAAAUUAUUUUAUAGAAUUAAUAUGUAUUUAUAGUAAUAUAUUUAGUAUAUAAUUCCUAAUAAGUUGAAUAUUUAAUUAU
rnacentral:ncRNA from 1 species